rnacentral:rRNA from 1 species
UACGGGGGGGGCAAGCGUUGUUCGGAAUUACUGGGCGUAAAGGGCUCGUAGGUGGCCAACUAAGUCAGACGUGAAAUCCCUCGGCUUAACCGGGGAACUGCGUCUGAUACUGGAUGGCUUGAGUUCGGGAGAGGGAUGCGGAAUUCCAGGUGUAGCGGUGAAAUGCGUAGAUAUCUGGAGGAACACCGGUGGCGAAGGCGGCAUCCUGGACCGGCAUUGACGCUGAUGAGCGAAAGCUAGGGGAGCAAACGGG